rnacentral:tRNA from 1 species
GCAUUGGUGGUUCAGUGGUAGAAUUCUCGCCUGUCACGCGGGAGGCCCGGGUUCGAUUUCCGGCCAAUGCA